UUGAACGCUGGCGGAAUGCUUUACACAUGCAAGUCGAGCGGCAGCGCGGGGGCAACCCUGGCGGCGAGCGGCGAACGGGUGAGUAAUACAUCGGAACGUACCCAGUUGUGGGGGAUAGCCCGGCGAAAGCCGGAUUAAUACCGCAUAUGCCCUGCGGGGGGAAGGGGGGGAUCGCAAGACCUCUCGCUUUCGGAGUGGCCGAUAUCGGAUUAGCUAGUAGGUGAGGUAAAGGCUCACCUAGGCGACGAUCCGUAGCUGGUCUGAGAGGACGACCAGCCACACUGGAACUGAGACACGGUCCAGACUCCUACGGGAGGCAGCAGUGGGGAAUUUUGGACAAUGGGCGAAAGCCUGAUCCAGCCAUACCGCGUGAGUGAAGAAGGCCUUCGGGUUGUAAAGCUCUUUCAGCCGGAAAGAAAUUGCUUCUAUUAAUACUAGGAGUAGAUGACGGUACCGGAAGAAGAAGCACCGGCUAACUACGU
rnacentral:rRNA from 1 species